AACGUAGGAGGCGAGCGUUAUCCGGAGUUACUGGGCGUAAAGCGCGUGUAGGUGGCUGGUUACGUCUGCUGUGAAAUGUCCCGGCUUAACCGGGACUAGGCGGUAGAUACGGAUCGGCUAGAGGGUGACAGAGGAACGUAGAAUUCCGGGUGUAGUGGUGAAAUGCGUAGAGAUCCGGAGGAAUACCAGUGGCGCAAG
rnacentral:rRNA from 1 species